GGAAGUCUAGCUCAAUGGUAGAGCACUUGCCUCAUUAGCAAGGUGAUAUAGGUUCGAAUCCUAUGACUUUCA
rnacentral:tRNA from 1 species